AUUGAACGCUGGCGGCAGGCCUAACACAUGCAAGUCGAGCGGAGCGGCGGACGGGUGAGUAAUGCCUGGGCAUCUGUCUGGUAGUGGGCGAUAACGUCCGGAAACGGGCGCUAAUACCGCAUACUAGCAGAUGAGCCUAGGUCGGAUUGGUUAGUUGGUGGGGUAAAGGCUUUCCAAGGCGACGAGCCGUAACUGGUCUGAGAGGAUGUUCAGUCACACUGGAACUGUGAAGCGGUCCAGACUCCGACGGUGGGCAGCAGUGGGGAAUAUUGGACAAUGGGCGCAAGCCUGAUCCAGCCAUGCCGCGUGUGUGAUGAAGGUCUUCGGAUUGUAAAGCACUUUAAGUUGGGAGGCGUUACCAACAGAAUAAGCACCGGCUAACUUCGUGCCAGCAGCCGCGGUAAUAC
rnacentral:rRNA from 1 species